rnacentral:rRNA from 1 species
AUGGGGAAUUUCGCAUCGAGUGAUGCUUCUUCAGUCAAAGAGGCGCAAAGGGUAUCAGCAACCAGCUCCACACCACCGGUGAACUGCUGCCGGGUGCCCAAGGACUCAAGGACAAGGAGGACGCACCACUGGGACUCUGGGAGCAUUCAAGAUUGGUUGGAGAUGGCGGAAUUGGCCGAGCCGCGGGUGUACAGCUGCCGCCAUUGCCGGAACCGCGUCUGCCUCCACGACGAUAUCAUCUCCAAGGCCUUCCAGGGGAGGAAUGGCUGCGCAUUUCUCUCCUCUCACGCCAUGAACAUCACCACGGGGGCCAAGGAGGACAGGCAGUUCAUGACGGGGCUUCACACGGUCGCCGACAUCCACUGCCGUGACUGCCGCGAGGUGCUCGGAUGGAAGUACGAGAGAGCCUACGAGGAAUCCCAAAAGUACAAGGAAGGCAAGUUCAUAUUUGAAAAGGACAAGAUCGUGCAGAAGAAUAGAGAGAUGGCGGAACUGGUUGGGCCGCGGGUGUACAGCUGCCGCCAUUGCCGGAACCACGUCUGCCUCCAUGACGAUAUUAUCUCCAAGGCCUUCCAGGUGAACAACUUCACCCAGGGAAGGAUAAUUUAUUUUCUUUUCCUUGGUCAUUACUGA